rnacentral:rRNA from 1 species
AUGUGGAGCGUACACAGGUGCUGCAUGGCGUGUCGUCAGCUCGUGUCGUGAGAUGUUGGGUUAAGUCCCGCAACGAGCGCAACCCCUGCAUUCAGUUGCCAUCGGUGAGGCCGGGCACUCUGGAUGGACUGCCGGCGACAAGCCGGAGGAAGGUGGGGACGACGUCAAGUCAUCAUGGCCCUUAUGUCCAGGGCGACACACGUGCUACAAUGGCCGGCACAGCGGGAAGCGAAGGGGCGACUCUGAGCGGAUCCCUUAAAGCCGGUCCCAGUUCGGAUUGCAGUCUGCAACUCGACUGCAUGAAGUUGGAAUCGCUAGUAAUCGUGGAUCAGCCAAGCCGCGGUGAAUACGUUCCUGGGCCUU